UCGACUUUGUCGAAUAUCGAUAGAUUAGUAUUGCAGCUAAUUUCAUGUGACAACAAAUACAUUUGGACAGCCUGAGAAGCAAAUAUUUGUGGGAAUUAUCCAACAGUAACGGCCUCGAAAAUAGUUAAUGAAUUGAAAAACUGAAAGUGAAAUGAAGCUAUAAGUGUGGAGCAUGGCCAAAGCCUGUACAAUCAACUUGCGUGAAUUACAUUUAGAGGCUGUAAAUGCGAUAAUAUUUAUGAAAAUUUUAAAUAAAAUGUAUAUUGUGAACUAAAAGAUUAUAAUUUAAAUAAAUACAAUUUUAAGGUUUUCCGAUCCCGCUGAUAAA